GACAGAGGGUGCAAACGUUGUUCGGAAUUACUGGGCGUAAAGCGCAUGUAGGCGGCCAAGCAGGUCGGAUGUGAAAUCCCUCGGCUCAACCAAGGAAGUGCAUUCGAAACCGCAUGGCUGGAGUCCCGGAGAGGGUAGUGGGAUUCUCGGUGUAGAGGUGAAAUUCGUAGAUAUCGAGAGGAACACCGGCGGCGAAAGCGGCUACCUGGACGAGGACUGACGCUGAGAUGCGAAAGCGUGGGGAGCAAACAGG
rnacentral:rRNA from 1 species